rnacentral:rRNA from 1 species
AGUGAACGCUGGCGGUAGGCCUAACACAUGCAAGUCGAACGGCAGCACAGUAAGAGCUUGCUCUUACGGGUGGCGAGUGGCGGACGGGUGAGGAAUACAUCGGAAUCUACUUUUUCGUGGGGGAUAACGUAGGGAAACUUACGCUAAUACCGCAUACGACCUACGGGUGAAAGCAGGGGAUCUUCGGACCUUGCGCGAUUGAAUGAGCCGAUGUCGGAUUAGCUAGUUGGCGGGGUAAAGGCCCACCAAGGCGACGAUCCGUAGCUGGUCUGAGAGGAUGAUCAGCCACACUGGAACUGAGACACGGUCCAGACUCCUACGGGAGGCAGCAGUGGGGAAUAUUCGACAAUGGGCGCAAGCCUGAUCCAGCCAUACCGCGUGAGUGAAGAAGGCCUUCGGGUUGUAAAGCUCUUUUGUUGGGAAAGAAAAGCAGCAGGUUAAUACCCCGCUGUUCUGACGGUACCCAAAGAAUAAGCACCGGCUAACUUCGUG